rnacentral:rRNA from 1 species
UUCUGUGGCCAUACUACCCUGAACAUGCCCAAUCUCAUCUGAUCUUGGAAGCUAAGUGGGGUUGGGCCUGGUCAGUACUUGGAUAGUAGAUAUAUGGUUUGGACAAAAC